UACAGAGGGCCCAAGCGUUGUUCGGAUUCACUGGGCGUAAAGGGUGCGUAGGCGGUCGGGUAAGUCUGAUGUGAAAUCUCCAAGCUUAACUUGGAAAUGGCAUCGGAUACUAUUCGGCUCGAGGAAUGGAGGGGAGACUGGAAUACUUGGUGUAGCAGUGAAAUGCGUUGAGAUCCACAGGAACUCCGGUGGCGAAGGCGGCCCGCUGGACCCCACCUGACGCUGAGGAACGAAAGCUAGGGGAGCAAACAGG
rnacentral:rRNA from 1 species